rnacentral:rRNA from 1 species
AUGCACGCUGGCGGCGUGCCUAAUCCAUGCAAGUCGAGCGAACGGACGAGAAGCUUGCUUCUCUGAUGUUAGCGGCGGACGGGUGAGUAACACGUGGAUAACCUACCUAUAAGACUGGGAUAACUUCGGGAAACCGGAGCUAAUACCGGAUAAUAUUUUGAACCGCAUGGUUCAAAAGUGAAAGACGGUCUUGCUGUCACUUAUAGAUGGAUCCGCGCUGCAUUAGCUAGUUGGUAAGGUAACGGCUUACCAAGGCAACGAUGCAUAGCCGACCUGGGAGGGUGAUCGGCCACACUGGAACUGAGACACGGUCCAGACUCCUACGGGAGGCAGCAGUAGGGAAUCUUCCGCAAUGGGCGAAAGCCUGACGGAGCAACGCCGCGUGAGUGAUGAAGGUCUUCGGAUCGUAAAACUCUGUUAUUAGGGAAGAACAUAUGUGUAAGUAACUGUGCACAUCUUGACGGUACCUAAUCAGAAAGCCACGGCUAACUACGUG